GACGAACCGUGCGAACGUUGUUCGGAUUCACUGGGCUUAAAGGGCGCGUAGGCGGCUUGCCAAGUCAGGGGUGAAAUCUUUCGGCUCAACCGGAAAAGUGCUUCUGAUACUGGCGGGCUGGAGGAGGGUAGGGGCAGAUGGAACUUCCGGUGGAGCGGUGAAAUGCGUAGAUAUCAGGAGGAACACCUGUGGCGAAGGCGGCCCUCUGGACGGAUACUGACGCUGAGACGCGAAAGCGUGGGGAGCAAACGGG
rnacentral:rRNA from 1 species